rnacentral:rRNA from 3 species
GUACAGAACGACUCUCGGCAACGGAUAUCUCGGCUCUUGCAUCGAUGAAGAACGUAGCGAAAUGCGAUACUUGGUGUGAAUUGCAGAAUCCCGUGAACCAUCGAGUCUUUGAACGCAAGUUGCGCCCGAAGCCCUUAGGCUGAGGGCACGCCUGCCUGGGUGUCACCAA